CACGGCAUUCCUUAUCACUGCGCAGGCUCAGUAUGUUCCCGCGGGCCCACAGUCUUGAGCAUGCGCAGGGAGCGAUCCUGGGAAGCAGUCGCUCUUUUCAUCGGCUUUAAAAAAGCAUGUUAGAAGAGGAUUUACAGAGUGCAAACUCAAACCGCAUAACAUACCAAGAUCUGAAUGUGCCACUCAGCACUGGAUAUUAUUGGCCUUUCAAUGACAACCAGAAUUGGACACAGUCCUGCAGAAGAGGCCUCACCAAUGGCCUG